UUUGGUUCCAUAUGUGAUCAUUUU
rnacentral:snRNA from 1 species